AUGCAAAAUGCUAAAUUACAGCUUCCCUCCAGUUCUGUAGUGAGAGAAUUCCCAAUGUUGAAACAAGGAAUGGGGAGAGUUAGAAAAUAAAAUUGGCAUGCGAUCAGAAAAUGCUAUCUGAAUAACCUGAUUGGUGAACAGCCAUGAGCGACUUUUGCUAUUUCAGCUGUGCAUUAAAAAAUACCAGAGAAAGCACAAUUCUGAUAGAACAAGCUGUCAUGAAGCCAAAACUGAGCAAAAACCACAUACAUUCACAUUUGAUUAAAAAUGAAAAACAAAAAAGAAAAUUCUUUGUCGGUAAAAUGUUUUACCUAGAACUCAAGUGGCAUAGUUUUAGCUUCACCUGGUUCACAUUCUCUAAGAAAAAUAUGUGUAUUUAGCACAAUUUGCUAUCCAAUUAUUAUUUUUCAGACUAUAAGCCGCUACUUUUUUUCCCCACGCUUUGAACCAGGCGGCUUUUAGCCCGGUGCGGCUUUUUCUGUGGAUCUUUCUUCAACCACCAGGAAGUGAAUCGUUGAAAGUCAAGAUUGGAAAUCAAAGAAGAAAGCGCUAAAUUCCAUUUAGAUUAGAACAAGCACAUGCUAGCAGCAGGCACGACGGAGAAAUGUUUUCAAACUCAUAUGAUGCUGCUUUUAAGUUGAGGGCUGGCGAUCUGGCAGGACAACAUGGGGAAAUAAAGCCGCUGCACGUAAACUCGGCGUGAACAAAACCAGGGUUCGGCUUUGGAGAAGGAGGGUUGCGUCCUUAAUAGCAGAUUUAUUAGGACGCAGCCCUCUACUGCCCUCUGCUGGGUCCUUGUGGAAAACCGAGAGCGGCGGAGAUACCAGCGGCUUACAGCCUGGUGCAGCUUAUAUAUGUACGUUUCCAGGUUUUUUUUUUUUGUUUGUUUUUUUUGUUUAUUUGUAGGUGCGGCUUGUAGUAUAGUGCGCUCUACAGUCCUGAAAAUACGGUAAAUAGUCAUUCAAAGAAAUAGUAAACAGAUCAGCCCUAUACUGUACUGAUGUUAAGUGAAGCAGAAGUAUUUGUUUAGCUGCGGAUGCAUCCUUUACUACAAGAAGUGAUCAGGUGUUUGCUGAAGCAUUGCUGUUAUUGCAAUAUAUGUUGUAAAAUGUUUAUUUUUCUUUCUUUUCUUUUUUUUAAAAAAAGACUUAUUUAUUUAUUUGCAUCUCUUUAUGCAUUUCUAACACUGUAUAAAAAUGGUUUAAGGUGUUAAAUGAAAAAUAUGCAGAAUGAGCCAAUUGUUUUUAUCCGAUUAAUUGAUAGAAUAAUCGAUUACUCAAACAAUCGUUAGUUGCAGCCCUAGCUCGAAGCAAAAUUCACAUCGGUUUGGAGAUCCCUAAUCAGACAGUGCCGCCUCUUUCACCACAACUGAUAUGAAAACCUUUCCUUGGUAACUCCAGUCUUCCUAAAACCCCAAAAAUCACUUCCAGCUGAAGUUAUUGGUGGGCUUUUUAUUGAGCCUCAGACAUUUUGUGGCCACCGAGUCUAUUUUUCCUCUGCUGUAGGUCUUCACGCUGUAAAUUGCCGGCCCUCCCCCGACUCCAGAUCCGUGUGUAUCACACAAACAUGAGAGCGGCACUCAGCCAAAUGUGUCAAGUGACUCUCAUAAACAAGGUAAAUCAGCAAAAAACAUUGGACUUUGGUUUAACCUUUGCAAAACACUGUUCCAGCAGCGGCAGUGAAAAUACUUUGUAUUCCAGCAGCAAGUGUUUCUCUGCUGGAGAAGACGCUGUUUCAGAGCAGAGCAGAGAGAGUUUGGGCAAAACACAGAGGCAAAAAUGUGGGUCUGAUUAAAUAAAGACAAAACUAGGUCCCAGAACGAUUUGGUGCACCGAGUCGACUUCGAUGUCAGCGAUUAUGCGCUCACCUCUUGCCGAGUCACGUCCAUGUUCCAGAUGACGAUGCUGCCAUCAGAGCUGCAGGAGAUGAGCUGGCGGGUGUGUGAGGCAUAGCACAGGCCCUGGACUUUGUCACUGACAACAGUUCACACACACACACACACA